rfam:Clostridium sp. ASF356 genomic scaffold acMac-supercont1.2, whole genome shotgun sequence.
AAAUUCCUGAAGUGUUCGACACUCCUGCCGUAUUUGAACCUACAUGACUUAAACGGGAUUCCUAUAUGCAAAAGAUAUGCCAGGCCUCAACAUAAUUCCCUUUGGGCAGAGGAAGGCAGAGUCUUUGCUGCGGUUGCCCACCUGGCGUAGGCUAGGUGUCAAGAGGUGGGAACCGGCAUUUUGGGAUUAAA